AGUUUGAUCCUGGCUCAGGAUGAACGCUAGCUACAGGCUUAACACAUGCAAGUCGAGGGGCAGCAUUGGGGUAGCAAUACUUCAGAUGGCGACCGGCGCACGGGUGAGUAACACGUAUCCAACCUGCCGCUUACUCGGGGAUAGCCUUUCGAAAGAAAGAUUAAUACCCGAUGGUAUAAAGAGUUCGCAUGUUCUCUUUAUUAAAGAAUUUCGGUAAGCGAUGGGGAUGCGUUCCAUUAGAUAGUUGGCGGGGUAACGGCCCACCAAGUCUACGAUGGAUAGGGGUUCUGAGAGGAAGGUCCCCCACAUUGGAACUGAGACACGGUCCAAACUCCUACGGGAGGCAGCAGUGAGGAAUAUUGGUCAAUGGACGAGAGUCUGAACCAGCCAAGUAGCGUGAAGGAUGACUGCCCUAUGGGUUGUAAACUUCUUUUAUAAGGGAAUAAAGUGAGGGACGUGUCCCUUUUUGUAUGUACCUUAUGAAUAAGGAUCGGCUAACUCCGUGCCAGCAGCCGCGGUAAUACGGAGGAUCCAAGCGUUAUCCGGAUUUAUUGGGUUUAAAGGGAGCGUAGGUUGACAUAUAAGUCAGCUGUGAAAGUUUACGGCUCAACCGUGAAAUUGCAGUUGAUACUGUAUGUCUUGAGUGUACAAGAGGUGGGCGGAAUUCGUGGUGUAGCGGUGAAAUGCUUAGAUAUCACGAAGAACUCCAAUUGCGAAGGCAGCUCACUGGGGUACAACUGACACUGAGGCUCGAAAGUGUGGGUAUCAAACAGGAUUAGAUACCCUGGUAGUCCACACAGUAAACGAUGAAUACUCGCUGUUUGCGAUAUACAGUAAGCGGCCAAGCGAAAGCAUUAAGUAUUCCACCUGGGGAGUACGCCGGCAACGGUGAAACUCAAAGGAAUUGACGGGGGCCCGCACAAGCGGAGGAACAUGUGGUUUAAUUCGAUGAUACGCGAGGAACCUUACCCGGGCUUGAAUUGCAGAGGAAUAUAGUUGAAAGAUUAUCGCCGCAAGGUCUCUGUGAAGGUGCUGCAUGGUUGUCGUCGGCUCGUGCCGUGAGGUGUCGGCUUAAGUGCCAUAACGAGCGCAACCCUUAUCAUUAGCUACUAACAGGUCAUGCUGAGGACUCUAGUGAGACUGCCGUCGUAAGAUGUGAGGAAGGUGG
rnacentral:rRNA from 1 species